rnacentral:rRNA from 1 species
CGGGACGGGUGAGUAAUGUCUGGGAAACUGCCUGAUGGAGGGGGGUAACUACUGGAAACGGUAGCUAAUACCGCAUAACGUCGCAAGACCAAAGAGGGGGACCUUCGGGCCUCUGCCAUCGGAUGUGCCCAGAUGGGAUUAGCUAGUAGGUGGGGUAACGGCUCACCUAGGCGACGAUCCCUAGCUGGUCUGAGAGGAUGACCAGCCACACUGGAACUGAGACACGGUCCAG